AUACUCACCUGACAGGGAGAUGCCAUAAUCACAAAGGUGAUUUUCCCAGGGUGAGGCCUAUCCAUUGCACUCUGAAGUGCUGACCCCUGCAAUUUCCCCAUAUGUGGAACAUUCCUGCACAAUUUGUGGUUGUAGGGUACAACAUUGGUGCUGUCCCAUG